UCGAAGGAAUUAGAAGUUAAUUUGGAUAGUAGAACCGAGGUGAAAACAAUCCUUAGUUACCAACUUUGGUUAUCUCUGAGCGCAUGAUGCUUGAGAGAAUAAUUUAGAGAGCACUUUGGUGCGGUGGAGCCGGCAGCCUUUUCUGUUGUGGCCUCUCGGGUUUUCCCGACCGAGAAUGUCUUUUAUUUUCUCUCUUUUUCACCUUCUUUUGCCGCCGCCCGUCCCCAAAACCUCCCCUUGGUUGCUUUAUGAAUUGUCUGCGCCGAGUUAUGGCCAGCCCAGGAACCGUAAACUGCCGGGAGCACCUCCGGCAGCUCGACUGUCGGUGACGUGCACUGCGUCCUUUGCAAGAAUCUCCAAGCAGACAGAGAGCCGGUUUCCGCUCGAUCUCCGGUACUUUCGACCUCGCACCCCAUGCUCACUCUAUCUAGCACACUCUCAUCUUCCUUUCUCACUCCCGACACUCCUCCUACCGCUUCCGUCGUCCCCUUGCAGUCCUAUGCGAGAAAAUUCCUUGGGUCGGGUCAAGAGCAUCACUUGGAGGGGUCGCACCGUAUUCCAUCUUAUGGAUAUAUUUGUAUAUGCACUUGAUGCAUGUUCUCUCACACACAUUUUAAAACAAUCGUCAAUUUAUGAUACAAGAACACAAUUCGAAAAGAAUCUCCCCCUUCAUUCCAGCGGAUUUUUAUAGGAACGAUUACUUUUGCUCACAAAUAUUUACUCGACUUCCUUUUCCCUGACCCACGAUAUGUUUGCGAGAGAUUUUUGGGAAAAACAAAAUUCAAUGCUCUCUGUAUUUUACGACGCUGGAGAAUAACUUGUCAUCCCUCCUAGUGAACACGAAGAAAAAAACAAAAAAAGAUUUUCUAAAUUUUUCCAGCGAAAGUCUUUUUAGUAAACAAUUUAUCUCUUACUCAAAUCAAAUUUUCAUGUAACGCUAAAAGGACUACUUUACACCCACACUACUAAUUAAGGCUAUAAAUAAUUAAAAUUUCGUUUGCCACUAGUCAACCUGUUUAACCAAAAGCGAAUACGACAACUAAUGGGUAAAUAAUAGAAUAGAGGAUUAAUUGAAAAAUUGGUAGUCAAAUGUGGACUUGAAUAAAUAAUGGGAAAAUUAUGAAAUUUACGUUAGUUGGUAAAGUGCAGAGAGUGGACGGAUGGUAGAGCGACGGACGAUGGGACGUUUCCUAGUUUCAAGCGGGCCAGUGCGCUAACGAUAAUCCCAUUACUUCCGCAGCCUUAGCUUCGUAAUCCACGGGUCCUGAUUUAUGCGGCACUAGAUACUCGAGAGAUAAUUCCAGAGCAGCACAGAGAGAGGACGUAUAUCCUUCGAAGCAACUGCAGGAAGCUUAACGUGCGACGAAUACAAUUAUUAUUACCAGUAUCGAUUUCACUUGCACGUUACUGCCUGACAUGUUCCGGUUGAUGCUCCUAUCAAAGCCUAAUACCCUCAUCCUAAACUUCCUCUUCCAUAGAAAUAUCAACAUCAUAUUUCUAUUGUUAAAUUUGAUGGAAGAGACAUUUUCAAUCCUGCCUCUAAAUACAAAUUAAACGCUAUAAAAGGGAUUAAUCCCUUAAGAGGAAAGCAGAUCCACAUUGAUCUUAAUAGCAUGAAAGGGAAACUAUGUUCCUUUCAGUUUUACCACAUUACAAAAUUGUUUCUAAUAUUGCAAUAUUUUUCUCAUCAAAUUUCUCAAAAUAUUUUCUUAACAUUAUACAAUAAAAAAUAUUUUUCUUUCCUAAUCUGAACUUGUUACACCUGUAAUUUUUCUAUUGGUCAACAGUACAUCAAUUCGCUGAUAAAUAAUAUUUUUUUCUCCCAAUCUGAAUCGGUUGCACCAGUACAUUUUUUGUUGAAUAAUAGUACAUAAAAUUUUGAGAUAACUUUAAAUAAUACUCAACAUGAACAGUAUAUAAGUUGUAGAAUCGCGUGAAAUUUUUAAACGUUAUUUGAAAGUCUUUUGUUUCGUGGCAUUAAGUUUGAAACAAAAAAGAAAUAGUGAAAUCCGUCUAAUUAUUCCUGUGUAAUACACCUACCGUAUAAUUUGAAACCAUACGAUUGUACUAGUAUUUGCGGUAAAUAACAAAUAUCAACUGGGAAAAAAAUGUAUUCUUUAACAAUCAUGAUAAGAUUAGCAAUAAUCUGCUUUCUAAUUUCGACGAUCAGAAGCGAACAGAGUAACUUCACUAUGGAUAAAGUAAAUGAAGUAAAACAAGUUUUAAAUAAUUUGGAAAGUCAUUUGAACGCAACAAUUGAUAAAUUAAAUCAUCACGAACUACCUAAACAAGAUGAAAGCUUUUGGGACAGAUUUUUGCAGAUUUUUUCAGACAAUAUACAAUACACCUACCAUUUACUAAAUAAAUAAAAUAAUUGUAAAUAAAAAAAGAUUUUGUCUUUUACUGUAUCUAAGCAAACAUAUAAAUAAUAAAGCAUUUAAAUAGUUA